rnacentral:rRNA from 1 species
UACGAGGGGAGCAAGCGUUGUUCGGAUUUACUGGGCGUAAAGGGCGCGUAGGCGGUCGUGACAAGUCACUUGUGAAAUCUCCGGGCUUAACUCGGAACGGUCAAGUGAUACUGUCGGACUAGAGUACAGAAGGGGCAACUGGAAUUCUCGGUGUAGCGGUGAAAUGCGUAGAUAUCGAGAGGAACACCUGUGGCGAAGGCGCCUUGCUGGCCAAUUUCUGACGCUGAGGCGCGAAAGCGUGGGGAGCAAACAGG